UCCCACCCAGCCUCUCCAGGCUCCACCUUCAGUCCUGACCUGCCAGCCAAACUCUGCUGCACUUGACGGUCACCACGGAGUCCUGUCCUGGGGCUACUGAUGCCCACUCUUUGUGACCUGAUUUAAAAUUGAAUGCCACCGAAAACAGAAGGCAUAAAGUCCAAGCCUCAGCAUGACAAAUGGAGAGGUUGAGAGGGAGACCCAGGCACCACUCACAAGGACCCCAAUUCACCAGGGGCCUCCGAAGCUGGCAGCACCUGCCUGUGGUUCUGGAGCUUGGAUAUUUUGCUGUAACAACAGGCUGACUGGCUGAUAUUUCAGUGGAUUUGUUGGAGCACCUGCCAGGUGCUGAAAGCUGCUGCUGCUGCUGCUAAAUCGCUUCAGUCGUGUCCGACUCUGUGCGACCCCAUAGACGGCAGCCCACCAGGCUCCCCCGUCCCUGGGAUUCUCCAGGCAAGAACACUGGAGUGGGUUGCCAUUCCUUCUCCAAUGCAGGAAAGUGAAAAGUGAAAGUGAAGCUGCUCAGUUGUGUCCAACUCUUAGCAACCCCAUGGACUGCAGCCUACCAGGCUCCUCCAUCCGUGGGAUUGUCCAGGCAAGAGCACUGGAGUGGGUUGCCAUUUCCUUCUCCAGGUGCUGAAAGCUCGAAAAGUCAAUAUUCUAAUCUGUGCUUCCUGAGCAUGUGAACACUGAGCUCAUGGAAAUGCAGAUCUCUCUCGGGUACACGCUUGGCUUAUACCUUGUAUGUAAGGAACUGGGAAAGAUGCAAGCAACACUGGCUGGUAACUUUAGGGGCCUUUUCCAUUUUUUUUCAGUUGAUUGCAGAAUUUCAUUGUUGCCUUUAGAAUUAAUUUUGUGCACCUCUCUCCUUGGUAAAUAAAUGAAUACCUCACUCUCGCUGUACAUAAAAAAAGUGUACAUUGAGAAAAUGCAAACUUCUCUAUAGUGACAGAGACCAGAUCAGUGAA